CAAUAGCGUAUAUUAAAGUUGUUGCAGUUAAAAAGCUCGUAGUUGGAUUUCUGGUAGGAGUGACCGUUCCGAACUUGAUUGUUCGUGUAUUGUGUUUUCUCCAGCCAUCCUUGUGGAGAACUUUUCUUGCAUUAAUUUGUAGGGAUUGGGACCCGCAUCGUUUACUGUGAAAAAAUUAGAGUGUUUAAAGCAGGCAAUCGCUUGAAUACAUUAGCAUGGAAUAAUAAGAUAGGACUUUGGUACUAUUUUGUUGGUUUGCAUACCAAAUUAAUGAUCAACAGGAACAGUUUGAGGAUAUUCGUAUGAACAUGUCAGAGGUGAAAUUCUUGGAUUUUGAUCAAACGAACUACUGCGAAAGCAUUUAUCAAGGAUGUUUUCAUUAA
rnacentral:rRNA from 1 species